rnacentral:lncRNA from 1 species
CUGUGUGUGUGUGAGUGUGUGAGUGUGUGUGUGUGUGUGUGUGUGUGUGUGAGUGUGUGAGUGUGUGUGUGUGUGUGUGUGUGUGUGUGAGUGUGUGAGUGUGUGUGUGUGUCUCACAGGGUCACUUAUGAAUGUAGUUGACAGGCCUGUUCUGGCCCACCCGCUCCACCUUGCUGUCUCUGCUGUGAUUCACUGCGUUUCCGGAUGAAGCUUUUGGUACCUCAGGCUGUGAGGAGCUCCAGUUCCCUCAGCUUUUUGACUGGACACACAGUUUUCACCAGGCAACACACUUUUUCCCUGGCUGGGAUGCAAAGGAUGGAAUGCGGGUUCGUUAUGGGGCUGUGGCUCGGCAUGCUGCUCCUAAUCCAAACCACAAGCCUGGACCCGCCCAGAUCCGAGGUCAGGAUUAUAUCGGCAUUCAUCCGCAGGGUGACAGGCGACAGCGACACUGUUGGAUGAAAUGGAGGUGAACGCUCGUGGGCGAGAGUUAGCAUAGCGUGGUGCUGACUCAGUUCAGUACAGUGCAGGUUAUUAUAGCAGGAGGGGGUGUGAGCGCUCCUUUAAAGAAAGAUCAAUUCAACUUUCACUGAAAGAACUGUGUCGAAAUCAAAUCACAGUCGGAACACCUCGCCAUAUGUUUGAUUACGUAAAAUGGAAACUUGAGUUUGGCACCGACACAAAACACGAAAUAAACAACAAAACACAAUUCA